AUUGGAGUGGGGGUGCUAUACAUGCGUCGAGCGGACAGAAGGGAGCUUGCUCCCGGAUGUUAGCGGCGGACGGGUGAGUAACACGUGGGUAACCUGCCUGUAAGACUGGGAUAACUCCGGGAAACCGGAGCUAAUACCGGAUAGUUCCUUGAACCGCAUGGUUCAAGGAUGAAAGACGGUUUCGGCUGUCACUUACAGAUGGACCCGCGGCGCAUUAGCUAGUUGGUGGGGUAAUGGCUCACCAAGGCGACGAGCGUAGCCGACCUGAGAGGGUGAUCGGCCACACUGGGACUGAGACACGGCCCAGACUCCUACGGGAGGCAGCAGUAGGGAAUCUUCCGCAAUGGACGAAAGUCUGACGGAGCAACGCCGCGUGAGUGAUGAAGGUUUUCGGAUCGUAAAGCUCUGUUGUUAGGGAAGAACAAGUGCGAGAGUAACUGCUCGCACCUUGACGGUACCUAACCAGAAAGCCACGGCUAACUACGUGCCAGCAGCCGCGGUAAUACGUAGGUGGCAAGCGUUGUCCGGAAUUAUUGGGCGUAAAGGGCUCGCAGGCGGUUUCUUAAGUCUGAUGUGAAAGCCCCCGGCUCAACCGGGGAGGGUCAUUGGAAACUGGGAAACUUGAGUGCAGAAGAGGAGAGUGGAAUUCCACGUGUAGCGGUGAAAUGCGUAGAGAUGUGGAGGAACACCAGUGGCGAAGGCGACUCUCUGGUCUGUAACUGACGCUGAGGAGCGAAAGCGUGGGGAGCGAACAGGAUUAGAUACCCUGGUAGUCCACGCCGUAAACGAUGAGUGCUAAGUGUUAGGGGGUUUCCGCCCCUUAGUGCUGCAGCUAACGCAUUAAGCACUCCGCCUGGGGAGUACGGUCGCAAGACUGAAACUCAAAGGAAUUGACGGGGGCCCGCACAAGCGGUGGAGCAUGUGGUUUAAUUCGAA
rnacentral:rRNA from 1 species